UACGGAGGGUGCAAGCGUUGUUCGGAAUCACUGGGCGUAAAGCGCACGUAGGCGGCCGAUCGUGUCGAGUGUGAAAGCCCUCGGCUCAACCGAGGAAGUGCACUCGAAACUGGUCGGCUUGAGUCCGGUAGAGGAGGGUGGAAUUCCGGGUGUAGAGGUGAAAUUCGUAGAUAUCCGGAGGAACACCGGUGGCGAAAGCGGCCCUCUGGGCCGGUACUGACGCUGAGGUGCGAAAGCGUGGGGAGCAAACAGG
rnacentral:rRNA from 1 species